rnacentral:rRNA from 1 species
UACGUAGGGGGCAAGCGUUGUCCGGAAUCAUUGGGCGUAAAGAGCGUGUAGGCGGCUCGAUAAGUCUGCUGUGAAAGUCCAAGGCUCAACCUUUGAAUGCCGGUGGAUACUGCCGGGCUAGAGUCCGGAAGAGGCGAGUGGAAUUCCUGGUGUAGCGGUGGAAUGCGCAGAUAUCAGGAGGAACACCGAUAGCGAAGGCAGCUCGCUGGGACGGUACUGACGCUGAGGCGCGAAAGCGUGGGGAGCGAACAGG